rnacentral:tRNA from 1 species
CAGAAAAUAGAUUAGUUUAGAAUUCU